rnacentral:rRNA from 1 species
AUCAUUACAGAGUUACUACUCCAACCCAUUGUGAACCUUACCUAUGUUCUGUUGCCUCGGCGGCGUCGGUCAGCGCCCCUCUGAGAAGAGGACGAUGCCCCUCCCGCCGGCAGCACCAAACUCUUGAAUUUUACAGCGGAUUACAGUUCUGAUUUGAAAACAAAAAACAAGUUAAAACUUUCAACAACGGAUCUCUUGGUUCUGGCAUCGAUGAAGAACGCAGCGAAAUGCGAUAAGUAAUGUGAAUUGCAGAAUUCAGUGAAUCAUCGAAUCUUUGAACGCACAUUGCGCCCGGCAGUAAUCUGCCGGGCAUGCCUGUCCGAGCGUCAUUUCAACCCUCGAACCUCCGUUUCCUCAGGGAAGCCCAGGGUCGGUGUUGGGGCGCUACGGCGAGUCCUCGCGACCCCCGUAGGCCCUGAAAUACAGUGGCGGUCCCGCCGCGGUUGCCUUCUGCGUAGUAAGUCUCUUUUGCAAGCUCGCAUUGGGUCCCGGCGGAGGCCUGCCGUCAAACCACCUAACAACUCCAGAUGGUUGACC